GACUAUUAUCUGAAUGGUGGCCGAUUGGGAAAGGGGGAGAUGCAGCGAGACCUGGGUGUCAUGGUACACCGGUCAUUGAAAGUAGGCAUGCAGGUGCAGCAGGCAGUGAAGAAAGCAAAUGGUAUGUUAGCAUUCAUAGCAAAAGGAUUUGAGUAUAGGAGCAGGGAGGUUCUACUGCAGUUGUACAGGGUCUUGGUGAGACCACACCUGGAGUAUUGUGUGCAGUUUUGGCAUGUUGGCCUUCAUAACAAGAGGAGUUGAGUAUACGAGCAAAGAGGUCCUUCUGCAGUUGUACAGGGUCUUGGUGAGACCACAUCUGGAGUAUUGCGUACAGUUUUGGUCUCCUAAUCUGAGGAAAGACAUUCUUGCCAUAGAGGGAGUGCAGAGAAGGUUCACCAGACUGAUUCCUGGGAUGUCAGGACUUUCAUAUGAAGAAAGACUGGAUAGACUCGGCUUGUACUCGCUAGAAUUUAGAAGAUCGAGGGGGGGGGAUCUUAUAGAAACGUACACAAUCCUCAAGGGGUUGGACAGGCUAGAUGCAGGAAGAUUGUUCCCGAUGUUGGGGAAGUCCAGAACAAGGGGCCACACACACAGUUUAAGGAUAAGGGGGAAAUCUUUUAGGACCGAGAUGAGAAAAACAUUUUUUUCACACACACACAGAGUGGUGAAUCUGUGUAAUUCUCUGCCACAGAAGGUAGUUGAGGCCACACAGUUCAUUGGCUAUAUUUAAGAGGGAGUUAGAUGUGGCCCUUGUGGCUAAAGGGAUCAGGGGGUAUGGAGAGAAGGCAGGUAUGGGAUACUGAGUUGGAUGAUCAGCCGUGAUCAUAUUGAAUGGCGAAUGGUGCAGGCUCGAAGGGCUGAAUGGCCUCUACUCCUGCACCUAUGGUCUAUUUUCUAUGAGAGAAGGCAGGGAUGGGAUACUGAGUUGGAUGAUCAACCGUGAUCAUAUUGAAUGGCGAAUGGUGUAGGCUCGAAGGGCCGAAUGGCCUCUACUCCUACACCUAUCAUCUAUGUUUCUCUAAUGUCAUGUUAGCAGGAAAAAAAUCAGACUUUGGAAAAUUGAAUUUGUUGCUUAAUUGUUCAAAUUACAGUGUUACCCAUAAACAGGUUCUUGAAGGGCACAAAACCCUACCUAUGCCAUUCUUUAAAGGCAGGGUCCUGAGUUGGUGUUUUUAAAAGGUGGUCUGAUGCAAUAGGGCUCAGGAGAGAAAAGUAACGCAACUCAAACAUUUCCUGAAUUGAACCCAUAUCAAUAAUGUUGGAGUAUUAAUUAUUAAUGCCUUAUGUGUCAAUCGAAACUGUCACUGUAGGAGUCCCUUGCAUGAAGCACAUUGGGAUCUGGGGGGUCCUUGUUCAUCAGUCUAUGAAAGUAAGCAUGCAGGUACAGCAGGCAGUGACGAAAGCCAAUGGCCUGUUGGCCUUCAUAACAAGAGGAGUUGAGUACAGGAGCAAAGAGGUCCUUCUGCAGUUGUACAGGGCCCUGGUGAGACCACACCUGGAGUAUUGUGUGCAGUUUUGGCCUUCAUAACAAGAGGAGUUGAGUCUAGGAGCAAAGAGGUCCUUCUGCAGUUGUACAGGGCCCUGGUGAGACCACACCUGGAGUAUUGUGUGCAGUUUUGGCCUUCACAACAAGAGGAGUUGAGUAUAGGAGCAAAGAGGUCCUACUGCAGUUCUACAGGGCCCUGGUGAGACCACAACUGGAGUAUUGUGUGCAGUUUUGGCCUGUUGGCCUUCAUAACAAGAGGAGUUGAGUAUAGGAGCAAAGAGGUCCUUCUGCAGUUGUACAGGGCCCUGGUGAGACCACACCUGGAGUAUUGUGUGCAGUUUUGGCCUUCAUAACAAGAGGAGUUGAGUACAGGAGCAAAGAGGUCCUUCUGCAGUUGUACAGGGCCCUGGUGAGACCACACCUGGAGUAUUGUGUGCAGUUUUGGCCUUCAUAACAAGAGGAGUUGAGUAUAGGAGCAAAGAGGUCCUUCUGCAGUUGUACAGGGCCCUGGUGAGACCACACCUGGAGUAUUGUGUGCAGUUUUGGCCUGUUGGCCUUCAUAACAAGAGGAGUUGAGUACAGGAGCAAAGAGGUCCUUCUGCAGUUGUACAGGGCCCUGGUGAGACCACACCUGGAGUAUUGUGUGCAGUUUUGGCCUUCAUAACAAGAGGAGUUGAGUAUAGGAGCAAAGAGGUUCUACUGCAGUUGUACAGGGCCCUGGUGAGACCACACCUGGAGUAUUGUGUGCAGUUUUGGCCUGUUGGCCUUCAUAACAAGAGGAGUUGAGUCUAGGAGCAAAGAGGUCCUUCUGCAGUUGUACAGGGCCCUGGUGAGACCACACCUGGAGUAUUGUGUACAGUUUUGGCC